rnacentral:lncRNA from 1 species
UCUACCGCAGGUCAGGAACAAAUAAACUGUAUGAAAAUUUGGGGUGGAGAAGUCUUUAAAUGUGUGUCUCUUGCUUCUUUUGAGCUAUUGAAAUUCUGUUUUGUUCACAGAGCACAGUGCCUUCUUUGAUGUGGGCAUACCAUGCUGGGAUGAUCCUGUGCCAAUUCUUCCAUGUAUUAAUAUUGAUACAAAAGUUCUUCUGAGAGUAGUAUCCUUGUAAUGUUUCUUCUGACUUCCAUAUGAGUUCUUGAUCUGUGUGAGUUACUCCAGUUAUGUGCCUUCCUGCCCAGGAAAUGUCAACAGGAUUAAAUCUUCCUAACUCAUAGAAGAUUCAGGUUUCAUUGAGUGACAAUUCCAGUUGAUGCUGUAAGAGAAGAAAGCAGACUCAUCAUGCUGGAAGACCAAAUCUAGAGGGGAAAGGGCAGGAAUGAGAGAGAAUUCUGGAGAAAGAACAGAGGAACUGAGAAGACCCAAACAGUUGAACUCACUUCUCUUUGGGAAGCUCAUCAGAGAGGUUGAUCUGAGCUAACCUCUGAGCCUGGAGCAUCCUUCUGUGAAGUCAGACCCCAGUAUCCAGUGGAAACCAAACAAGAAUUCUUUUCUGCAACACUCCUGCCAACCUCUGACCACAUACAAGCUUGCUAUAGAAACAAGAUUCCUAUUGUCCCCAUGCCUUGAGAAUCACUGUAGAUCCCGAUGUCUGUUUCCUUCUGAUGAAUUGGUGGGGCAACUUUGAUAAGCCUGGAUUUGAAAUGGCUAAUAGCUGGUCCUGAAGAGAAUAUGCCCAGAAGGGAGCAACGUCCAGCCAAAUCUAUGAGAAAUCAGAGCAUCCAACAACCAUCAGGUGUGAAUGAAGCAAUUCCCUGUUGAGACUAUGAAUUAGUCAAUCAACUAAUGAAUGAAUGAAAAUGUAUUUAUUAAACAUUUUUUAAAUGCAAAGC